rnacentral:rRNA from 1 species
AUACGUAGGUGGCAAGCGUUGUCCGGAAUUACUGGGCGUAAAGGAUGCGUAGGCGGAUAUGUAAGUCAGAUGUGAAAUACCCGGGCUCAACUUCGGGGCUGCAUUUGAAACUGUAAUUCUUGAGUGUCGGAGAGGAAAGCGGAAUUCCUAGUGUAGCGGUGAAAUGCGUAGAUAUUAGGAGGAACACCAGUGGCGAAGGCGGCUUUCUGGACGAUAACUGACGCUGAGGCGCGAAAGUGUGGGGAGC